UACGAAGGGUGCAAACGUUGCUCGGAAUCAUUGGGCGUAAAGCGCACGUAGGCGGCCUUGUAAGUCGGAUGUGAAAUCCCACGGCUCAACCGUGGAAGUGCAUCCGAAACUGCGAGGCUCGAGUAUGGAAGAGGGUCGCAGAAUUCCCGGUGUAGAGGUGAAAUUCGUAGAUAUCGGGAGGAAUACCAGUGGCGAAGGCGGCGACCUGGGCCAAUACUGACGCUGAGGUGCGAAAGCGUGGGGAGCAAACAGGG
rnacentral:rRNA from 1 species